rnacentral:rRNA from 1 species
CAGGAAUACGCUAGUAAUCGCAGGUCAGGCAUARCUGCCGGUGAAUACGUUCCCGGGCCUUGUACACACCGCCCGUCACACCACGAAAGUCAUUCACACCCGAAGCCGGUGAGGUAACCGCAAGGAGCCAGCCGUCGAAGGUGGGGGCGAUGAUUGGGGUGAAGUCGUAACAAGGUAGCCGUAUCGGAAGGUGCGGCUGGAUCACCUCCUUUCUA